rnacentral:ncRNA from 2 species
AACAUCUCGUGCGUUCAUGGUGACGAACGUGGUUUCAGCCUCGUUCGUGAACAGGGAACUUCGGUGCGACGUCGUUUUUGUCGAUGUCAAUUCCGAGACGGUCCGGCCGCUGUGUGCCACUUGCGUUCUUAACAGUUCGCAUCCGUCGCUCCUUUCUUUGAAAGUGCCAUUGUUCGUGAAUCACGAAUGAGAAGGCAGCGAGCGAGACGGAAGAGUGGUGAGUCAGAAGACCUACCUUGAACGAGACGGCUCA